UACGUAGGGUGCGAGCGUUGUCCGGAAUUAUUGGGCGUAAAGAGCUCGUAGGCGGUGUGUCACGUCGGCCGUGAAAACCUGGGGCUUAACUCUGGGCGUGCGGUCGAUACGGGCAUCACUAGAGUUCGGCAGGGGAGACUGGAAUUCCUGGUGUAGCGGUGAAAUGCGCAGAUAUCAGGAGGAACACCGGUGGCGAAGGCGGGUCUCCGGGCCGAUACUGACGCUGAGGAGCGAAAGCAUGGGUAGCGAACAGG
rnacentral:rRNA from 1 species